rnacentral:rRNA from 1 species
AUGGAUUUGGGCUCGAGCUUCACUGCCGUUCAUGGCCGGAGUCCCCUGAGGCGGCAAGGCCCUGGUGGUAGUGGACCGGUGCUGCAACGGUACUACAACCCUGAUGUGGUCUUCCAAGAUGCAGCACGGCAUGGCCGGGAUGAAAUUGAUCUGAAUGUUGCUGUGGAGCCAUCAAUUUUCCUUGAUGAUGAUAUGCAAAAUGUUGCGCACGAAGAAGAAGAUGAUGGAAUUGAUCUGAAUGGUACUCCGGGAAAUGAUAGUGAUGAUUCAUUGCAGCUGAACACGGAUGGUGUAGCUCCAAAUCAUGGCAAUGCCCGUGUGGCUAGUGACAAUGCCAAUGGAAAUGCUGCAACACUUGUUGACGAACCAGAUGAAGAAAUAUCAUCACAGCCAGUUGUCCCUUUUCUUGGAAUGGUUUUUGACAAUGUUGAAGAAGCUCAGCGUGUUUACAAUGAAUAUGCCUCGAAGAUGGGCUUUGGAACUCGCAUUGUGACAUCAAAGCAUAGUAGGAAAAAUAGCUCGGAGCAGAAGCGCAUUCUAAUCUAUAGAGUUUUUGAGUGCGUACACUCACGGAAAAAUCCUUCGAAGAAUGUUGGUGGUAGCAUUUCUGACGGGGCUGCAACAAAUCAGUGUGAAGAUGUUGAUAUGAGCUAUUCUAGUAACAAAAAAUCUGCAAGCAAACAAGCUGGCAUCUAUAUGGAUGUGAGCGACAAGAGGAAAAGAAACCGGUUGGAGCGGUAUGAUUGCAAGGCUCGUAUGGGUGUUAACCUCAAAGACGGUAGCUGGGUUGUGAAAGUUUUUGAGGCCGAUCACACACACCAGCUGAUUUUACAAAGGGGGCGUCGGAGAUUUUGCCACUCUCACAGAAAGAUCCCGGAUGCAGACAUGCAGUACAUCACUUCACCGCACUAUCGCAACAUAUCAACGGCUAAUAUGAUGGGCUUGCUUGGAGAUGCACGGUGUUGCAAUCCAAGGAGUUUGCCGUACGUGAAGACUGAUGUGACAAAUGCAAGAGCAAAGCUGUGA